rnacentral:misc_RNA from 1 species
AAGACUAUAGACCUGCGGAGUACCUGCGGAGGGAUCAUUACAAGUGACCCCGGUCUAACCACCGGGAUGUUCAUAACCCUUUGUUGUCCGACUCUGUUGCCUCCGGGGCGACCCUGCCUUCGGGCGGGGGCUCCGGGUGGACACUUCAAACUCUUGCGUAACUUUGCAGUCUGAGUAAACUUAAUUAAUAAAUUAAAACUUUUAACAACGGAUCUCU